GUGUCAGCCGCCGCGGUAAUACGUAGGGGGCAAGCGUUGUCCGGAAUUAUUGGGCGUAAAGCGCGCGCAGGCGGCGAUUUAAGUCUGACGUUUAAGCCCAGGGCUCAACCCUGGUUCGCGUUGGAAACUGGAUCACUUGAGUGCAGAAGAGGAAAGCGGAAUUCCACGUGUAGCGGUGAAAUGCGUAGAGAUGUGGAGGAACACCAGUGGCGAAGGCGGCUUUCUGGUCUGUAACUGACGCUGAGGCGCGAAAGCGUGGGGAGCAAACAGGAUUAGAUACCCUGGUAGUCCACGCCGUAAACGAUGAGUGCUAGGUGUUGGGGGUUUCGAUACCCUCGGUGCCGAAGUUAACACAGUAAGCACUCCGCCUGGGGAGUACGCUCGCAAGAGUGAA
rnacentral:rRNA from 1 species